AUUGAACGCUGGCGGCAGGCUUAACACAUGCAAGUCGAGCGAACGGCGGACGGGUGAGUAAUUUCUGGGAAACUGCCUGAUGUAGGGAGAUAACUACUGGAACCGGUAGCUACUCCCGCAUACCAUCAGAUGUGCCCAGAUUGGAUUAGCUAGUCGGUGGGGUAAUGGCUCACCUAGGCGACGAUCCCUAGCUGGUCUGAGAGGAUGACCAGCCACACUGGAACUGAGACACGGCCCAGACUCCUACGGGAGGCAGCAGUGGGGAAUAUUGCACAAUGGGCGAAAGCCUGAUGGAGCCAUGCCGCGUGUGUGAAGAAGGCCUUCGGGUUGUAAAGCACUUUCAGCGAGGAGGCGGUACUCGAAGAAGAAGCACCGGCUAACUCCGUGCCAGCAGCCGCGGUAAUAC
rnacentral:rRNA from 1 species